rnacentral:tRNA from 1 species
GGAAGAAUGGUAUAGUGGGAAGAACAUUGGGUUUAGCUUCAAAGGUCCUGGGUUUGAAUCCAGGUACUUUUA